rnacentral:tRNA from 1 species
AAGAUUUUAAGUUAAAUUAAACUAUUAACCUUCAAAGUUAAAAAUAAUAUUAAAUACAAAUUAAGUCUUA